rnacentral:rRNA from 1 species
CUAGCGACAGGCUUAACACAUGCAAGUCGAGGGGCAGCACAGGUAGCAAUACCGGGUGGCGACCGGCGCACGGGUGAGUAACGCGUAUGCAACUUGCCUAUCAGAGGGGGAUAACCCGGCGAAAGUCGGACUAAUACCGCAUGAAGCAGGGAUCCCGCAUGGGAAUAUUUGCUAAAGAUUCAUCGCUGAUAGAUAGGCAUGCGUUCCAUUAGGCAGUUGGCGGGGUAACGGCCCACCAAACCGACGAUGGAUAGGGGUUCUGAGAGGAAGGUCCCCCACAUUGGUACUGAGACACGGACCAAACUCCUACGGGAGGCAGCAGUGAGGAAUAUUGGUCAAUGGCCGAGAGGCUGAACCAGCCAAGUCGCGUGAGGGAUGAAGGUUCUAUGGAUCGUAAACCUCUUUUAUAAGGGAAUAAAGUGCGGGACGUGUCCCGUUUUGUAUGUACCUUAUGAAUAAGGAUCGGCUAACUCCGUGCCAGCAGCCGCGGUAAUACGGAGGAUCCGAGCGUUAUCCGGAUUUAUUGGGUUUAAAGGGUGCGUAGGCGGCCUUUUAAGUCAGCGGUGAAAGUCUGUGGCUCAACCAUAGAAUUGCCGUUGAAACUGGGGGGCUUGAGUAUGUUUGAGGCAGGCGGAAUGCGUGGUGUAGCGGUGAAAUGCAUAGAUAUCACGCAGAACCCCGAUUGCGAAGGCAGCCUGCCAAGCCAUUACUGACGCUGAUGCACGAAAGCGUGGGGAUCAAACAGGAUUAGAUACCCUGGUAGUCCACGCAGUAAACGAUGAUCACUAGCUGUUUGCGAUACACUGUAAGCGGCACAGCGAAGGCGUUAAGUGAUCCACCUGGGGAGUACGCCGGCAACGGUGAAACUCAAAGGAAUUGACGGGGGCCCGCACAAGCGGAGGAACAUGUGGUUUAAUUCGAUGAUACGCGAGGAACCUUACCCGGGUUUGAACGCAUUCGGACCGAGGUGGAAACACCUUUUCUAGCAAUAGCCGUUUGCGAGGUGCUGCAUGGUUGUCGUCAGCUCGUGCCGUGAGGUGUCGGCUUAAGUGCCAUAACGAGCGCAACCCUUGCCACUAGUUACUAACAGGUAAAGCUGAGGACUCUGGUGGGACUGCCAGCGUAAGCUGCGAGGAAGGCGGGGAUGACGUCAAAUCAGUACGGCCCUUACAUCCGGGGCGACACACGUGUUACAAUGGCGUGGACAAAGGGAGGCCACCUGGUGACAGGGAGCGAAUCCCCAAACCACGUCUCAGUUCGGAUCGGAGUCUGCAACCCGACUCCGUGAAGCUGGAUUCGCUAGUAAUCGCGCAUCAGCCAUGGCGCGGUGAAUACGUUCCCGGGCCUUGUACACACCGCCCGUCAAGCCAUGGGAGCCGGGGGUACCUGAAGUCCGUAACCGCGAGGAUCGGCCUAGGGUAAAACUGGUGACUGGGGCUAAGUCAUAACAA